GAUGAACGCUGGCGGCGUGCCUAAUACAUGCAAGUCGAGCGAACAGACGAGGAGCUUGCUCCUUUGACGUUAGCGGCGGACGGGUGAGUAACACGUGGAUAACCUACCUAUAAGACUGGGAUAACUUCGGGAAACCGGAGCUAAUACCGGAUAACAUGUUGGACCGCAUGGUUCAACAGUGAAAGACGGUCUUGCUGUCACUUAUAGAUGGAUCCGCGCCGCAUUAGCUAGUUGGUAAGGUAACGGCUUACCAAGGCAACGAUGCGUAGCCGACCUGAGAGGGUGAUCGGCCACACUGGAACUGAGACACGGUCCAGACUCCUACGGGAGGCAGCAGUAGGGAAUCUUCCGCAAUGGGCGAAAGCCUGACGGAGCAACGCCGCGUGAGUGAAGAAGGUCUUCGGAUCGUAAAACUCUGUUAUUAGGGAAGAACAAAUGUGUAAGUAACUAUGCACGUCUUGACGGUACCUAAUCAGAAAGCCACGGCUAACUACGUG
rnacentral:rRNA from 1 species